GUCUUCGUAGCUCAACGGCAGAGCACCGGUUUGCAAAACCGGGAGUUGGCGGUUCGAUUCCGCCCGAAGACU
rnacentral:tRNA from 1 species